rnacentral:rRNA from 1 species
UAACGAAUAUUCCGCAAUGGGCGCAAGCCUGACGGAGCGACGCCGCGUGCAGGAAGAAGUCCCUCGGGAUGUAAACUGCUGUCAGGGGCUAGAAAGGUUCAUUUCGGUGGAAUUGAUCAGCCCCAGAGGAAGCCACGGCUAACUUCGUGCCAGCAGCCGCGGUAAUACGAAGGUGGCAAGCGUUGUUCGGAAUCACUGGGCUUGAAGGGCGUGUAGGCGGCUAGGCAAGUCAGAGGUGAAAUCCCUCGGCUCAACCGAGGAAUUGCCUUUGAAACUGCCUGGCUUGAGCUGCGUAGGGGUCCGUGGAACUCUCGGUGGAGCGGUGGAAUGCGUAGAUAUCGAGAGGAACGCCGAUGGUGAAAACAGCGGACUGGGCGCAUGCUGACGCUGAGGCGCGAAAGCGUGGGGAGCGAACGGGAUUAGAUACCCCCGUAGUCC